rnacentral:tRNA from 1 species
GCGCCCAUAGCUCAACUGGAUAGAGCGUCAGUCUACGGAACUGAAGGUUGCUGGUUCGACCCCAGCUGGGCGCA